rnacentral:lncRNA from 1 species
AGAGGGCCGACCCGUCAGGCGUUGAUCACCGGGCCAACGGGAGACAAUGUGGCGUGAUGCUGACGCAGCCCACUGACAAGCCAGCGCGAGGCCCAGGGGAGCAGCUCUGAGCCGAGCAGCCAGAGCCAGGCAGGUGGCUCCAGAAGUGAAGCUGAAACAAUUAAUUGCGCUAUUAAACAAACACUUUAUGUUCCCUGAAAAAUCUUUAACAAAA